rnacentral:rRNA from 1 species
UACGGAAGGGGCAAGCGUUGUUCGGAAUCAUUGGGCGUAAAGGGCGCGUAGGCGGUCUCGUAUGUCUGCUGUGAAAGCACACGGCUUAACCGUGAAGAGUCGGUGGAAACUGCGAGACUUGAGGCUGGGAGGGGCUGGUGGAAUUCCCCGUGUAGCGGUGAAAUGCGUAGAUACGGGGGAGAACACUCGUGGCGAAGGCGGCCAGCUGGACCAGUCCUGACGCUGAGGCGCGAUAGCGUGGGGGGCAAACAGG